AGCUCAUUGGUCGAGCGUUGGCUUUGGAAGCCACAGGUCGGUGGUUUAAGUCCACC
rnacentral:tRNA from 1 species